CCUACGGGAGGCAGCAGUGAGGAAUAUUGGUCAAUGGGCGCGAGCCUGAAGCAGCCACGUAGCGUGAAGGAUGACUGCCCUACGGGUUGUCAACUUCUUUUAUAAAGGAAUACAGUGAGGCACGUGUGCCUUUUUGUAUGUACUUUAUGCAUACGGCUCGGCUAACUCCGUGCCAGCAGCAGCGGUAAUACGGAGGAUCCGAGCGUUAUGCGGAUUUAUUGGGUUUAAAGGGAGCGUAGAUGGGUUGUUAAGUCAGUUGUGAAAGUUUGCGGCUCAACCGUAAAAUUGCAAUUGAUACUGGCAGUCUAGAGUACAGUGGAGGUAGGCGGAAUUCUUGGUGUAGCGGUGAAAUGCUUAGAUAUCACGAAGAACACCGAUUGCGAAGGCAGCUUACUAAACUGCCACUGACAUUGAUGCUCGAAAGUGUGGGUAUCAAACAGGAUUAGAUACCCUAGUAGUC
rnacentral:rRNA from 1 species